AUAAAACAAAAUAGGAAGAAUUAUGGGGUCGAUUUAUAACUUUGCGAAUCAAUUUAUUUAACCAGAAUAGUAAAAUUGUAUGACAUUCUAUCAUAUAAAAAACACAAAUAUUUAUGUAAUUUACUCAACUCAAUUCAAGCGGUGAAAUAUAUCAGAAUUAGUUUGUAUUUAAUUGUGACGGGAAUCUUAUAAUAACAAUUGAGUAGGGGAGGUU
rnacentral:lncRNA from 1 species